UCCGGGCGGACGCCGAGUCCUGCCACCGCCCGGAUGCCCGGUCGACGGAAGUGGAUCGGCAGGAGUGGAGGACCCGAGCAAGACGGGUCGCCGGAACGGUCGCGCCACGGCCGGGCCGAGCAGCCCUUGGGGUGAAGCCGCCAGCAGGCGGCCGGGCAACUUCGCCAGCCCGAAUCCGACAGGUCAUCCUUCACAGGCGGCUGACGAAGGGUUG
rnacentral:sRNA from 2 species